AAAAAUUUAGUUAAAUUAUAACAUUAGUUUGUCGUACUAAAAUCAUUAAAAAAUAAUAAUUUUUU
rnacentral:tRNA from 1 species